GACGAACGCUGGCGGCGUGCUUAACACAUGCAAGUCGAACGGAAAGGCCUCUGCUUGCAGGGGUGCUCGAGUGGCGAACGGGUGAGUAACACGUGGGUGAUCUGCCUUGUACUCUGGGAUAAGCUUGGGAAACUGGGUCUAAUACCGGAUAGGAACUGCCUUUAGUGUGGUGGUUGGAAAGUUUUUUCGGUGCAAGAUGAGCUCGCGGCCUAUCAGCUUGUUGGUGGGGUAAUGGCCUACCAAGGCGUCGACGGGUAGCCGGCCUGAGAGGGUGUACGGCCACAUUGGGACUGAGAUACGGCCCAGACUCCUACGGGAGGCAGCAGUGGGGAAUAUUGCACAAUGGGCGGAAGCCUGAUGCAGCGACGCCGCGUGGGGGAUGACGGCCUUCGGGUUGUAAACUCCUUUCGACAGGGACGAAGCGCAAGUGACGGUACCUGUAUAAGAAGCACCGGCUAACUACGUGCCAGCAGCCGCGGUAAUACGUAGGGUGCGAGCGUUGUCCGGAAUUACUGGGCGUAAAGAGCUCGUAGGUGGUUUGUCGCGUCGUCUGUGAAAUUCCGGGGCUUAACUCCGGGCGUGCAGGCGAUACGGGCAUAACUUGAGUGCUGUAGGGGAGACUGGAAUUCCUGGUGUAGCGGUGAAAUGCGCAGAUAUCAGGAGGAACACCGAUGGCGAAGGCAGGUCUCUGGGCAGUUACUGACGCUGAGGAGCGAAAGCAUGGGUAGCGAACAGGAUUAGAUACCCUGGUAGUCCAUGCCGUAAACGGUGGGCGCUAGGUGUGGGGGGCUUCCACGUCUUCUGUGCCGUAGCUAACGCAUUAAGCGCCCCGCCUGGGGAGUACGGCCGCAAGGCUAAAACUCAAAGGAAUUGACGGGGGCCCGCACAAGCGGCGGAGCAUGUGGAUUAAUUCGAUGCAACGCGAAGAACCUUACCUGGGCUUGACAUACACCAGAUCGCUGCAGAGAUGUAGUUUCCCUUGUGGUUGGUGUACAGGUGGUGCAUGGUUGUCGUCAGCUCGUGUCGUGAGAUGUUGGGUUAAGUCCCGCAACGAGCGCAACCCUUGUCUUAUGUUGCCAGCAUUUUAGUUGGGGACUCAUGAGAGACUGCCGGGGUUAACUCGGAGGAAGGUGGGGAUGACGUCAAAUCAUCAUGCCCCUUAUGUCCAGGGCUUCACACAUGCUACAAUGGUCGGUACAACGCGCAGCAACACUGUGAGGUGGAGCGAAUCGCUGAAAGCCGGUCUUAGUUCGGAUUGGGGUCUGCAACUCGACCCCAUGAAGUCGGAGUCGCUAGUAAUCGUAGAUCAGCAAUGCUGCGGUGAAUACGUUCCCGGGCCU
rnacentral:rRNA from 1 species